UGGGGAAUCUUGGACAAUGGGCGCAAGCCUGAUCCAGCAAUGCCGCGUGUGUGAAGAAGGCCUUCGGGUUGUAAAGCACUUUUAUCAGGAACGAAAAGCGUGGGGUUAAUACCUUUACGUGCUGACGGUACCUGAGGAAUAAGCACCGGCUAACUACGUGCCAGCAGCCGCGGUAAUACGUAGGGUGCGAGCGUUAAUCGGAAUUACUGGGCGUAAAGCGUGCGCAGGCGGCGACAUAAGACAGAUGUGAAAUCCCCGGGCUCAACCUGGGAACUGCGUUUGUGACUGUGUUGCUAGAGUGUAGCAGAGGGGGGUGGAAUUCCACGUGUAGCAGUGAAAUGCGUAGAGAUGUGGAGGAACACCGAUGGCGAAGGCAGCCCCCUGGGUUAACACUGACGCUCAUGCACGAAAGCGUGGGGAGCAAACAGGAUUAGAUACCCUGUAGUCCCUGAGCGGGCUGGCAAGGCGCAU
rnacentral:rRNA from 1 species